AUUGAACGCUGGCGGCAGGCCUAAUACAUGCAAGUCGAGCGGAGCGGCGGACGGGUGAGUAAUGCCUAUGAAUCUGCCUGGUGGUGGGGGAUAACGUCCGGAAACGGGCGCUAAUACCGCAUCCUAUCAGUUGAGCCUAGGUCGGAUUAGCUAGUUGGUGGGGUAAGGGCCCACCAAGGCGACGAUCCGUAACUGGGCUGAGAGGAUGAUCAGCCACACUGGAACUGAGACACGGCCCAGACUCCUACGGGAGGCAGCAGUGGGGAAUAUUGGACAAUGGGCGAAAGCCUGAUCGAGCCAUGCCGCGUGUGUGAAGAAGGUCUUCGGAUCGUAAAGCUCUUUAAGUUGGGAGGCGUUAUCUACAGAAUAAGCAACGGCUAACUUCGUGCCAGCAGCCGCGGUAAUAC
rnacentral:rRNA from 1 species